ensembl:lncRNA
UUUAAUUUGAAAUUUAUUGCAAACAAAUAAAACGAAGGCUGAAAGAUGUCUGGAGACAUUUGCGUAAAAACGGUACAACAUUUACUGUUAACAAUAACUUUAAUAUAUUUUUUUAAUCCGUUUCCAAAUGAAUCAAAUUAUUUGAUUCAUAUUCCCAACAUUUAUUAUUUCAAAAGCAUUCUUAUCCAAAUUCUUGGCUGAAGCUACUGACACUUUAUUCCACAUUUCCUGGGACUACGCAGCACUUACACCGUUUAUUACAGAAACUUUCUUUUUAAAAGAAUAACCAUUAAAAGAAAUAAGAUAGCCAUGUGUAUGUGUGUGUCUGUGUGUUGUGAUUUUCUCCGCUGCUUAAGAAGUGUGAUGUCAAAGUGUGUAACAAUUCUUACUCGCGUCGUCGGUGAUUUGUGAAGAAACAUUAGUAAGACUGCUAUUUCCUUUUUUUCUCUAUCUCCUCCUCUCUCUCUCUCUUUGGUAGCAUGCUCAAGUCCCAUUCUCUGGUCAAGUUCAGCGAGUUGUUCUCCGGACCCGACGGACGCUUCUUAUUGGUAGGUUGCGAUAGUUACAUCACGCCGCUCAUGACGCGCACGUCUUCCUGUUUCCUUCAGCCGCGUCUUAAAGUGGAUCUUAGUGGCGGAGGAGCGCUCCAGCAUCCAGUCCUCUGCAUCCAGUGCGCCUCGGAGACACACAUACACGCGGUCUCGCGCUCUCUCUCCCUCUCUCUCUCUAGCAUACUCUCUAUGUCUCUCACUCUUUCACACAGCACAGGAUAGAGGGAGAGACCGACGCGCAAGAGCUCUUUUCAUCUUCUAUAUUUUUUCCCCUAUUUUGUUCCUUUCGCUCGCGUCGCCGACUUUAUUCCAGCUCUUCAUUCUCUGAGAAACUGUUAUAUUCCAGCAUACAGCAAUCCUCGGUGCCCUGCGCGUAUUCUCAUUUUUCCCCCCGCAGGAGUUCAGGUUGUCCCCCUCUUCAUCAAAAGGGUAAGUAACCUUGUCCUCGGAUACCUCCCUCUCUUGUUCUGG